rnacentral:lncRNA from 12 species
AUGUGCCCCAGAGCUUGGGAAUGUGCCAUUCAUGCAGUUAAUCCCCAGCCUCAAAGCCCCUGGGGCUGCAUUUGGGAUCUGCAGGGGCAGAGCUGUGCCUGCUGCCCCAGGGGCAGAGCGGCAGCUCAGCUCUCACGGGGACGGGCAGAGAGGAGUUGUGAGUGCCACAGUGCCCAGGGCAGUGCCCCUGCACCCAGAGCUGUGCCUGCUGCCCCAGGGGCGGGCAGAGAGGAGUUGGCAGUGCCACAGUGCCCAGGGCAGUGCCCCUGCACCCAGAGCCCAGCCCAGCUCGCUCUGCUGUGCAGCAGCUUCACUCCUGCCCCGGGCUGGGGGCUGGGGGCUCCUCUGCACUUCGAGCAAAUCUUUGUUUUCUGCCUGGGGCUGGUGAUCCGUGGGCAGGUUGAGCUGGCACGUUGGGCUUGUGAGGGGGCACAGCCACCUCGGCUGUGUCUUGGCCUUUCACAGGAAUCCAGGACAUUUCUGGGGUUGCUGUUGCUUUCUUCUGCGAGGAAAAGUGCUUAAGUCACCGCUCUGAUUUGAACUUUUAAUGUUCUCCCUGCACAUUUGUCAUAAGUGCAUCGAAUUACUGAGUUUGAUAGAGCCUGACUCCCUUCUUACAUUAAUUUAUGUCCUGGUAGACAAUGUUUCUUGCUAUGAAUAUCCUGCAGGAAUAGAACAUUCGGUCUGAGUGAAAAAUACAGCCAAUUAUUUUUGCUCUUUGUCUCACCCUGGGUAACUGUGCCAUGCUCUGUGUUCCAUUCCUGCUCUCUCUGGGUGCUCUGAGGCACAAAGGCCAGCCCUGAGGGUCUGCUGUCCCUGCCCCAGGCCCAGCAGUGGCAGCAGCAGCCCCAGAGGGUGCAGGUCCCUUUCUGGGUGCCUUUGGGCUGGGGCAGUGCUGGAGGUUGGGCGCCUGUCCCAGCAUCUCGCUCCUUGCUGCUCCUGAGGGAAGGUGCAGAGGAGUGGCUUGGCAGCAGAUGUCCUGUCGUGCAUAGCUGGGGGGGGAAGGCAGCCACGGCUUUGUCCUCGGGGUUAUUUCCAGAGCAGUCACCUCAGGAUGAGGAUGGGUUUUUUCAGACUCCCAGCCACACGUAACCAGGAAUGUUAAAGAGCAGAUUCCCAGGGCAGGGGAAUCAUCAUCUUCAGUGGUCUGUGGUCUCUCUUACCCUUGGGUUGUGAGUAAAAGUCUGAGGAUUGGAGUUAUUGUUGGCCCAUUUUUAUCCUGGUUGAGGAGAAUUGAUUUUUCGGAUUUGUUUUUAAACGUAGGGAGUGUUGGGAAGCACAGGACAAUGUCCCUGCAGUGGAAGGAAGAGGGAUAAUGGAGUGGCGUGAGCCACAUCUCUCGUGUUAACAUCUGCUCAGGAUCUAUUUAAAUUGUUGUGAGGGGGAGUCUCUGGUUCAGUUUCAGCAUCCUUCCUCUUCCAGAUGAACUGUGAGCUCACAGCAUCCUCUGCCCACCUAACAAACCCUGGGAGCUGAAAGAGACACUUGAAAUUGUUGUGGUAAAAUGCAAGGGCUGAAAGACAACUGCAGGCCUUUGGUAUUUUUUGGGGAAGGCGAAGCAAGGUGGAAAAUGGAGCUGGAAGCUGCAAGUGUGAGCUGUGCAGCAAAGCUGUGCCCAGCCAGUUGGAGAUUAAUCCAGUUAGUGACCCAAAGGAAAACACAGAAACAAUAUGGUCAGCUCAGCAGUGCUAAAAUAAUUUCAGUCUCUAUUAUGUCAUCUGCUCUAAAUACCAAUUGUUUGGUGCUGGCUCUGUUGCCCAUCAGAACUAUUAUUAAGAACUAUUUGCCAUUUGUUCUUUCCUGUCCUCUUAGCAAUAACUUCCCCUCUGUGCAGUUCUUUUACCUCAGAGCUGGACAUCUGUCUUCCUCCUGGUGAAAACACACUCAGGGCUCUUGUGCCCAGCUCUGUGUCCCCCUGAGGGGCUGGGGGCAGUUCCUGCUGUACCUGGGGAGUGAGGGGGAGAUCUCCCUGAUCUGCAGAGAUGUGUGUCUGAGGCAGAACGGGAUGGGAUGGCAGCAGCUGCUGGGGGGGUUCCCUGGGACAGAUCCUGAUUUCCCAGCUGUGGGAAGCUGUUGUGGGUUAUUUGGGGAGGGAGGAGAUUGUGGAAAGGGUGGCUUCAAAGCAAUGGUGCCUGUCCAGUGCAAAAACCACUCUGUGCAUGAACUCUGGCAGCUUUUUGUCUGGUUCCCCCCACGCUGGAUAUUCCCUGAUGACCAUUUGGAAGUGGAAUUCUGAAUUUUGCACUUUGGCUUUCGGUGCUUGGGGUGUGUAUGAGUUUGAUGGAGCUUUGCUUUGGGGCAGCACUAAGGCAGAGGUGGGGUGUGUAUGAGUUUGAUGGAGCUUUGCUCUGGGGCAGCACUGAGGCAGAGCUGCCUGGCCCACACCUGAGCCAGGUAAUUGCUCAGUGCUGGAGGAAGGAACCUCUCCCAUCCCAGCCCAGUCCCAGGCACUGAAGGGGGGCACAGCCCUGUGAGCACUUGCCUUGCUUCCAAAGGCAUGAGCUGGCUUGUGCAGAGUUAGACAUGAGAUUUUUUUUUCCAUGCCAAUUUUUAGGGAUUGCAAAAGUUUCAGCAACAAUGAGAUCCAGUUUGAGGCAUCUGAUCUUUAACUGGUUUAUAGAGACAGAUUUGGGUAUCUGCACGUUGUCAGGGUUCUGAGAGGAAUUUUUUUUUUGGAAGCAGAGAAGCCAAACAACCACUUUUGUUGGUCUUUGGGGCUCUCUGUGGCUCUCUGUGGCUCUCUGUGGCUCUCUGGGUCUCUUUGGGUCUCUUUGGGGCUCUCUGGGGCUCUCUGGGGAUCUUUGGGUCUCUCUGGGUCUCUCUGGGGCUCUGUGUCAGCUCACACUCGGUUUGCAGUGGACUGCAGCUCCUCACACCCGAGUUCUGCUGCUGCUGUGUGGCAGGAGCUGCCGAGGAUGCAGGAGCUGCUGAGGAUGCAGGAGCUGCUGAGGAUGCAGGAGCUGCUGAGGAUGCAGGAGCUGCCGAGGAUGCAGGAGCUGCUGAGGAUGCAGGAGCUGCUGAGGAUGCAGGAGCUGCUGAGGAUGCAGGAGCUGCUGAGGAUGCAGGAGCUGCUGAGGAUGCAGGAGCUGCUGAGGAUGCAGGAGCUGCUGAGGAUGCAGGAGCUGCUGAGGAUGCAGGAGCUGCUGAGGAUGCAGGAGCUGCUGAGGAUGCAG